rnacentral:rRNA from 1 species
AGAACGAACGCUGGCGGCAGGCUUAACACAUGCAAGUCGAACGCACUCUUCGGAGUGAGUGGCAGACGGGUGAGUAACGCGUGGGAACGUACCCUUUGGUUCGGGAUAACCCGGGGAAACUCGGGCUAAUACCGGAUAAGCCGGAAACGGGAAAGGUUUACUGCCGAAGGAUCGGCCCGCGUCGGAUUAGCUAGUUGGUGGGGUAAAGCCCACAAGGCGACGAUCCGUAGCUGGUCUGAGAGGAUGAUCAGCCACACUGGGACUGAGACACGGCCCAGACUCCUACGGGAGGCAGCAGUGGGGAAUAUUGGACAAUGGCGCAAGCCUGAUCCAGCCAUGCCGCGUGAGUGAAGAAGGCCCUAGGGUUGUAAAGCUCGUUUCAGCGGGGACGAGUAAUGACGUACCGCAAGAACGAAGCCCCGGCUAAACUUCGUGCCUAGCACGCCCG